ensembl:snRNA
AGAGAAGGUUAGCACUCCCCUUGACAAGGAUGGAAGAGGCUUUCAGGCCUUACAACACACUUACGGUUAAGACGUUGCCACUCACUUUGUGGCAUCUAACCACAGUUUUGG